ACGGAACUUCGGUCUGGUGGCGAGUGGCGAACGGGUGAGUAAUGUAUCGGAACGUGCCCAGUAGCGGGGGAUAACUACGCGAAAGCGUAGCUAAUACCGCAUACGCCCUACGGGGGAAAGCAGGGGAUCGCAAGACCUUGCACUAUUGGAGCGGCCGAUAUCGGAUUAGCUAGUUGGUGGGGUAACGGCUCACCAAGGCGACGAUCCGUAGCUGGUUUGAGAGGACGACCAGCCACACUGGGACUGAGACACGGCCCAGACUCCUACGGGAGGCAGCAGUGGGGAAUUUUGGACAAUGGGGGAAACCCUGAUCCAGCCAUCCCGCGUGUGCGAUGAAGGCCUUCGGGUUGUAAAGCACUUUUGGCAGGAAAGAAACGUCGCGGGUUAAUACCCCGCGGAACUGACGGUACCUGCAGAAUAAGCACCGGCUAACUACGUGCCAGCAGCCGCGGUAAUACGUAGGGUGCAAGCGUUAAUCGGAAUUACUGGGCGUAAAGCGUGCGCAGGCGGUUCGGAAAGAAAGAUGUGAAAUCCCAGAGCUUAACUUUGGAACUGCAUUUUUAACUACCGGGCUAGAGUGUGUCAGAGGGAGGUGGAAUUCCGCGUGUAGCAGUGAAAUGCGUAGAUAUGCGGAGGAACACCGAUGGCGAAGGCAGCCUCCUGGGAUAACACUGACGCUCAUGCACGAAAGCGUGGGGAGCAAACAGGAUUAGAU
rnacentral:rRNA from 1 species